CAGGGCAUUCAAAUGCUUAUAAAUAGGGGUCUACAUUUUCAUUUGUAGAUCAUCCCAAAACUUCUUCUUUCUCUCUUCAAUUAAUAAAGAGCUAUUCUUUGUGUGGCCGUGGAGUAGGCAAAAAUUGCCGAACCACGUAAAUCUUGUCUUGUCUUGUGCAAUUUAUUGUUUCUCUCCUAAAUAUUCUUUUCCUUCUAUUAUCUUGACACGCUUCCUCAACAUUAUUGACGUAAAAAAAAUUAUUCAAGAAACAUCAAACGGACUUCACGAACAUGUAUUGUGCACCUCUUGGGCCUUCUAGCUCUAUGAGUUGCAUAUAGAUUGACAUAUUCAUGAGGCUGCAAGGCAGUUCUUCUUGGUGAAUCAGUGCUUGCGAUUUUAGAAAGUCUAAUGACAACUUAAAUUUCAUCAUCUCGGCUAUUACUGAAUAUGAGGUGGGCUUCAUAUUAGGCUGGUCCUUCUUUCUUAUGCUACUUAUAUUAUUUUUAUUUUUAGAUAGUAGAGGUAGUAGACUUGAUUUCUCUCAAGAACUAUUUGCAUGCACGAUGCUGUGAAUCUGUCAGUUUAAGAAAACUAGUAAGCUAAAUAAAGAGGUACUUAUCUGAUUGCAUGAGAAGCUUAAUUGCUUCACUUUUAAUUAGAUUGACUUGUGCUUAUUAUCUAUUCUUUGAUUACAGUGCUUUCACGUGC
rnacentral:lncRNA from 1 species